UGUUGAAAGCUCCCUAUGGAGAUUUACAAUACAAGCCUCCCAAGGAUAUUCUUCAGGACAAUUUCUCCACUGCGUUUCAAACCUUCUCUCUCUAUCUUUUGGAGAAGAAAGAGAUUCAUCUUCUUCCUCUUCAAAUCUGAGAUUUGAUCUGAAAACCAGAUAACGAUGACAAUCUUGUGCAACAACGGCCGCAAAAGAGACAAGAGGAGAAGAAAAGAGAAAGAAAAGUUGAAAGAAGAGAAUCCUCAUCAAUGUUGUUGUUAUUGCGUGUUGCCUACGUUUUCAAUGGUCAGAGGAAUAAAGAGAUGUCUCUUCCUCUCGUGCUAUCCAUUUAUUCGUUGCUUAGGGUUUGAAGACAGAAGACAUCGUCACCAUCUUCAUAACCACAAUCAUUUUCUAUGAUUCUUCCCUCCUUACACUUCUUUUUUCUUUGUGUAUGUGUGAAGAUUAUUUAUUAAACAUCUUGAAAACACCUUGAUUUUCAGACAAAAAACAUGUAAACAAUCAAAUAAAGGAAUCAAGAUAUUGAAAUGUUUAUGGUUGGGGCUACAUAUAAUAUCUCUCAUGGUCAGAUUCUGCAGUUGAUGAGAUGACAUUUGAGUUUCUCAAUAUCAUAUAUAGUUUAAGAGACUAGAAACAAGUUAUCUAACGAGUUUAGGGUCAAAUAAGAUUAUCAUCAACGGCUAAAACAAGGUUUGGUGAUAGCUUAACAAAAAAAAAAAA